AGCUCCAAUAGCGUGUGUUAAAGUUGUUGCAGUUAAAAAGCUCGUAGUUGGAUUUCUGGUAGAAGUAGCGACCUUGGGUCUUUGACCUAUGAAGUUGCUAUCUUCAACCAUCCUUGAAGAGAUUUAGUUUGGCAUUAAGUUGUCGAACUAAAGACAUUCAUCUUUUACUGUGAAAAAUCAGAACGUUCAAAGUAAGCAUUUAGCUUUGAAUGCUUUAGUGUGGAAUAAUGAAAUAAAACUUAGGCACUACUUUGUUGGUUUAUGCACCUAGAUAAUGAUUAAUAGGGAUAGUUGGGGGUGUUCGUAUUCCAAUGUUAGAGGUGAAAUUCUUGGAUUUUUGGAAGACGAACAACUGCGAAAGCACUUACCAAGGAUGUUUUCA
rnacentral:rRNA from 1 species